AGGUAGUCCUACGUGGAGCAGGUCUAGCAGCACCUGCAGGAACUAGUUUUAAAGCAAACAGAGGCGAUGCUCAGGACGCGGAGGUGCACGGAUCACCAGGAAAAUGCUUCGCGCUGGUUCUACACCAUUACAGCUCACUCCGAACACCGGAGGCCCGAGCGUGACGGCUGGGGCUGUGCUGAUGAGGCAGCGUUAGACUCUCUGUGCAUGUCCGGGCAUUUACGCUCUGCUGUGGGAAACCCUUCUUGAGUGACAUACUUUUUUUUUUUUUUUUAACUCACUUUUCCUGGUUUCCAUGCCUCAUCGGACUGAUGAGUGGCUUGGUGGAAGAAAGAGAGAGUGUCCCUGGAGAAGAUUUCUAAUUUUGCUCCCUGGGUGAGCAGAAACUUUUACAGAGCAGGCUUCAGGCUGAUACUGGUGGAGGAGGGCUGGGAAAGGUCAAGGACCCCUGAAUCUUGGCUCUUUUUUCAGUGACUUUGUUGGUAAAGCCCCGUAGACAUUCUCCUAGGCUCUCUGCUUGAGACGAGAGACAGAUCAUUUCCCCCUCUAGAUUUAUAAGACUGUUUAAGGUUAUGGCAUCCUUAGGACCCAUGAGGCAGCCAGGAUCUAUGGAAAUAGCUGGGAAAACGGCGAACGCAGAAAGGGACCGAAUGCUGCCGGUUUUGUAAAAGCAACGAUAGUUUCAACUUAGACAGCAGACACGCCUGUUUGCCGCAGGCAUAAGCUUGAACGAUCUAUACUUGGAUGGCAAAAAUCCUGGAAAUUUUGUUUCUCUAACUCCAAAACAUUCUGGUUUUACUAUUUGGUUUUUAAAAAUAAUAUUGUCCUUUUCGAGGCGCACAUAAAUAUAGCGAUGCUCCUUCUGUGUCUUAUGUAUAACACUAGCAAACAAAGUGUCAGAUUGCUUAAAUGAAUGUUGUGCGUAGCAGUAGAUUUAUUAAAUUGUUCCAUCUUGGUUUUAAAUAAAUUUUUAAAAGUUGGGGUAUUUUGAAAUCAAAGCAUUCACAGUGGUAUAGGGUUUUUUUCCUUAAAUUGGUGAGACGAAGCAUUUAAUUUGGAAAAUUACCUCUUCUGACAAUUGUAGGAGAGUUUAUACAAACAGAGCAUUUAAUUUUAAAGUAGAAAAUCUAAAUCGUGUAAGUAUUGUCAUCUAUUUUCAUGCUCUGUUUAGACAGUCUUGCAGGCUACCAAAGUACAUAUUCUGGAAUGUUGAACAUCGUCGGUUUUCUUUGAUACCAGAGAUGGAUGAGGGCACGUAUCAGAAAUCUUUGUGUGUUUUUGUGCCCCUCUCCCCCGACACACACUCAGGCAGGGUGCUCGUGAUGGUGGAAGAUCCAGGAACCCCAGGAAGGCCCUAUUUGCUAUGCAAGGUUAAAACACACCAAGUUUAAUUUAAUAUUCUGGUGGUUUUUAUGGAAAGUGGAAACAGAUGGAAUAGGCAAAGGAAUAGUCAUCAUGUGUCUGACGCUAACCGGGGCGGGGGGGGGGGGGGAAAGCAGCUAUUCCCACAUUGGUGUUUGCCUUUUCUUCUUGAAGAUGUUCAUGCAGUUCAACAUUUGUUUUAAAAAACUUAAUGAGCGCAUUCGUAUCUCUGGGCUGCUGGCCUGUACGAAUUGCAUACGGGUGGCCUCGCAGAAGGGUGAUUGUCUUGCAUGGCAUCGGUCAUGGCACUAAAAGAUGCUUUCUUCGUCUGAAACCGAGUCUUAGUUAAAGCAGGGAAAUGAAACGCAAGUAACUGACUGUGAUAAGAUGAGCAAAAGUCUGGUUCAUCAGAAAAUAGUAUUAUUUUUGUCUAAGACUUUUUCAUAUUAGAGAGGAAAUUUGGUAGUGCCUUUCUUGGUACCUACGAGGAAGCGGUGAGAGGAAGCACAAUUCUGCGCACGUCUCUGCUGACACUGAAAUAUGUUAAAAAAGCUCACGUAGAUGGCAGGAACAGUACUACCAAAAAGCGUCUGUAAUCAAGAAUCAGUGAAUGAAUUCUAGUAACACACAAACAGUGUAUCUGAAUGACAAAAAUUCCUCGUUUUUCUUAUUAAAGGAAGUAUUUUUUUGGCACAUGCAAGGUAACCUAAAUAAAUGUUUUUGGAAAAAUACAACUGCUGUAUGAAAUUAUUUUUCUUAACCCAUCACAUUGAAUUGCGUUAUUCCUGUGUCUGUUAAUAUUGGAGCUCAGGUUUCGUUGCAGAAGAUUUCGUCUUCUUUCACUGCCUGCUUAUACAGUUCAUCCUUGUGAGUAAGGCUUUUUCCACAUCUAGAAUAUUUCCUGAGCGUAGUUCACUUCCUUUGCACCAUGUGAGUACUGGCACACCAAUCAGACAGCUGGAUUUUAUCUGUUCUCAACUGCAAGGAAAUUAGUUUUAAGAAUUCUUUGUCUAAACCAGCAUGCAAUGCAAUUCUUGUAUAGUUGUACUGAUUCAUGAAUUACUAAGAUCAAACUUAUAAAUUAACCAUAGCUAAGACUUCCACCCUUCUUUUGCUAUUUUCAAUUUUUUCUUAACUGUGUCAUAUUAUACAUCCUAUUGCUGCUCAGCAUUUAUAUGUAUUUGGACUUCAUCUGACCAGAAGUUGUUUGAUUUGACAGAUUUUUUUUUUUUUAUGUUAUUUGCAACAUCAAAAUAUGUUGCUAUGGAAAAAGUUACGAGUUCUAAUUAAAAAUGCAGAGGUCACAAGUUUCCCAGAACCAGUAGGGCAUAGAUCCUAGGAGAAAAGAAUCACAACAUAAAAAAUCCAGAGAUAUGUCAAUCUGCAACUUUCCAGAUCUGAAAGGAGAACAGCAAGCAUUCAAAAAAAAAAAAAACCCCAAAAACCCAGCAACCCACGAGACUGAAAUUUUGAUCGAGCUCCCUUGCGUUCAUUCAGAUGCUGUAUGUCUCGCUUCCCGCUGGCACAAGCUGCUUCUGGAAUUCAUGCAGAGCACUGAUAUUUGAAAUGUCAUCCCAAUACAACUUAAAAAGAGGAGAGAGAAAAAUUAGAUGGAAAUUAGUAGAGAGAGAAAUUAGACCUGCCUGGUCAUCCUUUCAAAUGAAAUACCAGUACUGAAAUAAUCUCUGUGUAAUGGCGUUGAGCGUUUUGUCAACCACACGCGUCCGUCACUUCCUUUGAAAGUUUGUCCGUGUUCAGUUGUCUCAUCGACUUCUCUUCCAUACCUCUUUAGGUGGUUUAAUUGUUCACAGUUUCCCCUUUUGUAAAUUUUCAUUUGUAAACAAUUAUUGUGUCUUUCCACUCCUUUUGCUCCGGUUUAGCCAAACGAAUUCCUGCUCCGUACCACUGAUGUGAACACACCUGGUCUGUGCUGCAUUGGAGAUUUCUGCAGAAGCGUGUUACGUGACAUAGGCAAGACGUAACCAUUUUUGCUCAGGAUGUAUUAAGCUUCUAAUCUUUUUACAGUGUUGGAGCUCUCAGUGCUUCCACUGCAGUCAUUCUUGGUUGGUUUUUUUUUUUUUUUUUAUUUUUGAAAUGACAAAUAUGGUGGAAUUGUCAUCGAAGUUUGCGGUCUCUGCCCUCCAGUAGUAGGGCAAAGCAGUCUGUCUCUUUGAACUCGGUUCCGCAAUUCAAAAGCGGCGAUGUGUUGCUACUACAGCACGGUGCCAAGUUAUCUCCAGUUUCCUCUCGGGAUAGCUGCUAAGUAUCUGUCUGUCUUACGGAGAUGGAAAGCUUGCAGUCCGAUGGGUCCUGCUCACCCAAUUACUCUUCUAGAUUUAAAAAAAAAAAAAAAAAAAUUUAAAUGUCAUUUCACUGAUGACUGAGCUUGCCAAAGUACAAAAUGUCUGUGAGCGCAGCACUUUGUUCUCCAGCGAGAAGCUGCCGUUUGCCAGCAGGUCUCGUUAUGCACGUGUGCAGCUUCGUGUAAUCAGCCAAGAUUCACCCUGAGGUUCACGUGGCCCUUAGAGAAUCAUUCUCGUGAAUGAAGGACAAUCAGAAAUGUUCCUGGUAGCCACGCUAGAUGAGAGGCUGUGAAUUCAGAUGACAGUUCAGAGGACAGCCGUACUUCUGAGAAGCAAGGGCGUAAAACCAACAUCAAACCAGCAGUCUCAUAACUGGAACCCAUUUUAUUCAAGUACAAGGCAACGGAACAACGUGAGCUGAUAAGCAAGGCGUUCCGUCUUCUGAAACAGAAUCGGAUGUAUACUGGAAAUGAAAACAAAAUGUAAAGUAAUUCCACGUGAAGACUUUCACAGCGAAGUUGGGCCAAAGAGAUUUCUCGCGUGCAUCGAUGAUUUCAGUUAACGAAGACAAUUAUGUGGAAAUGUUUUUAUGUGAUUAUAGGAUGAAAAAAAUCUGCGAAGUCAUUAAAAGAACCCUCCGUUUCAGAACAAACCAUAUAAGGUGCACAGAAUUCUGCCACGCUGACAUAGACUAGGCAGUAGACCAACACUUAAAGAAAAAAGGCCCCUUUGGAACCGAGAAGUAGCUGUCCUUCCCUUUGUGCUUCCCUUUCAGCGGUCAUCCUACCACUCUUUCUUUCCUGAGUAUUUUUACAGCUCCGUUCUGUACGUUCUAAGGUCUGUUAUGUCUAUUAAUGGGUUUUUGAAGGCCCUAAGGCUGUAGGAACACACACUGGUAUUUUCACUGAACCUGCCUGUAUGAACGAGAUGAUAUUUAAGCCAUAUGCUCAAAAAACUUUGCCAGUCAGUACUGAAUGGCUCUAGUUGGCCCUUAUGGCUGCACCGAGAAGAAGCAGGCAUACCUGGGGAUGACCGGCUCUGCUCUUGAAAAGGGAGCUGGAAAACUCAAUUGAGGCACGUUCAGAAUAGAAGGUAGCUGUGGGUGGCAAAUUUGCAUCUAGAAAGCCCUCAGAGAGGCAUUAAUUAGUUCCAGGUAGGGACCUCGCAAAGGUAUGGAUGACAAGGGUGAGGUUUUUUAGUAUCAAAGCUUCUUGGAUUUUAUUUUUGACCUUCUUAACAGCUAGAAUACUUGGGUAUCAACUGUGACCGGCAGAUCUCAUGCUCCUCUGGAGAAGAGGGACUACUCUGGAACUUGGGUUUAGUUGGAAGCGCGUUCUUAAAACAGUGCUGCCGUUACCCCAGAGCCACGCUGGUUUUGGGCUAGAAAACUAGCUCUGCGGGAGACAGUUGGCCUUCCUGCUGGAAUGUACGUCUGGAAGAUUAAAUUGUAGAAGACAGCUGUAAGAGCUCUGUCAAUACUUAGAGGAGGUGACGGGUCAAUUACGACAAAGACGACUUCUGGGCUUGGGAGAAAAGACUGUGGUAAGAAGACUUCUGGGCUUGGGAGCAACUGGUUGAGCACUAGCUCUAAGUCUAGGCAAUAAGGAGCACGGCACGAGCAGGCUCUUGCGACGCUGUGGUCAAAUGAGAGGGCUACUUAAUGAAAGAGGAGUUAUCUGCAAUAUGCAUGAGGUCUGUCUGGAUUAAAGGGGUACACAAUAGGUGUGUAUCAGUAGGCAGAUUGCUUCUCUCACUCUGUAAUUUUCUCCUCACCUCCGACAGCAAUCCUGCAGGCGCUCUUGUUCCAGACUCUCAAGUGCAUUUGCGUUACUUUGUCCCUUGACGGUCAAUGUUGGCAUUGCAGCGUGAACCGUCAAAUGGAAUUCACAAACAGGAGCAUGAGUUUGUAUUGAUUUCUGUGCUGUGACAGAUUAUGCCACAGGCUAGUUUCAGUGUAAGGGCUAGAAAUAAAAUCUGGGAAUUUCCCUUAUCAUAAUGCAAGUCUGGAUCCUAGAAGGAUCUGGCCAGUGUCUGAGUUAAACAUGUUGAUAUAAAUAAGUCCUUGCCAACCUUUAAAAAUGCAAGCAUGCUUAUGCAGAACUGUAAUCAAACCCCAUUUUUUUGGUUGUAAACUAUGAGUCGAUUUACUAAUGUCAGACUAUAGAUUAGAUACGACUUGCCAAAAAUAACUAUCAAAGCAGGUCACCACUGUGCAAACGAGACAAGUUUUUUCCAGAGGCUGUGCUCGUACUAUCGUGGCAUUCUGUGUUGGUUGUGUGAAUUAAAACGUAAGCUCAGUGCAAUUUAGGACAAAUUAAGUGUCUUUUUACUAUACUGUUAAAUACUAUCCUACCUGAGCUGACUGCUUGUGGCUGUUAUUUUAAAAACACACGCUUUUUAACAAACUGUGCACUUGCUAGAUUGGUGGCCUACGAUCGGAUCAGUUGAAUUGGAAAAAGCAAUUUAGCCUUUUAUUUGCUGUCUGCUGAAGCUGAUCUGAUAUGAUGCAGUCAAGCUGACCUCCUGAGAAACCUCCCAGUUUAAAUUUAGUCAAUAAUUUGGGAUUAACCAACAUGCUGAUCUUCACAUUCUGAGCUCUGUACGAGUUAAAUGUGUGUCUUUGAUCGACUUUCGACAAAAUUUGCAAUGAAAAGAGCAGUGUUUUUGCUGUGGUGCUCAAGCUUUAUUCUGCUGGUGACGUUGCUCCCUUGUCAUAUCCCCUAUAAGAAAUUCUGGGUAAAUACAUGCUUAUAGGUGCAGGUAAAAAAAGACACAGAAUAGUUUACCAGUACAUUCUCCUGGUAGCACACACCAAACUCUCCAAGUCCCACUGCUUUCUGUAACCCUAACACCGACUGGACAAAAAAAAAAAAACCUCUAUGAAGUGGCUCUUAGUUGCAGUGCUUCAUAAAAAAAAAAAUCGGAGCCAACUCUCAUGCACCAAAUGGAUUGAGUACCAGUGGUCCCGUGUUUCAUCAGUGCCGGUUUAGCAUCAUGUCAUAAUCUACAGCAAGAGACAAGUGGUUUUGUUUUGUUGGUUUUGGUUGGUUGGUUGGUUUUCACGCAACGGCUAGAAAAACAGCGUGGAGUUACUACUGAGAAGAUGAGGGGGGAAUUUCAAUAGCUCCUAUAAACAUACUGGAUUUGAAAAUUGAAACCAAAGGGAAUUUAUUAUACUUAUUAUACUUACUUUGUAAGGGAAGUUUCUUCAUACAUCUCUUACAAAAUUUAGUAAUGAUUAUUGCAAGGCUUAGCAAUGAGGUUACAUCCACUCAUUACGCCUGUGCACGUGUGUAUUUGAAAACAGGUUGGGAAUAAGAAUUGGCGUUUCUUGCACCAUGACCCAGUAUCCCAUUGGACAGGUUAGUUCCUGCUUUUGCAAGCUUUAGUAGUGCUUUAAUUUACGUAUUUACGGGGAGGGAAGUACAUAAAGAAGCACCUUUCUCCCAGAAAGAGGCAAGUACCCCCAGCAACAAGGGAGUUUCCUGGGGCUGAUUGUACAUAAGUUCUUCUUUACUGCUAUUUGCAAAGGCAGCAUCCAAGGGGAGGAAUGCACAAUUCUGGCUGCUUGGUUAAGGCCGCUUUAACGUAUCUGUGUGGAUGUCGAACUUCUUUUUGAAAGAAUAAAUGCAUUAUUUAAACGUACAUAGUGCCACUCGCUCCUAUAGAGCAAAAUAAAGAUGAAAAUAUCCU